GAAAUUAACUUAAUCCUCGCCAUUACUGGCUUUUUUUUUUCAGAGGCCCCAGAUUGAGGCUUGAUCUCCAGCAGCGGCUAAUUGCCCGGGUUAAUCUGAUUAAUGCCACUGCGGGGCCGCGUUUAGCAGCUCCUCGCCUGUCCGCCCCGCACCUCCUCUCCCGCGCGGCGCGAUCCUCUGCCUCCAGCCGAGCCGCAGGAUUUCGGUCGGGAAAAGGGCCCGGCCCCGCGCAGACGGCGCUUCCUGCGGGGCAGGAACGACUCCUUUCCUUCCCAGCCUGAUGCGCGGCAGGGAGACGUGUGUCCGCGGCGGUGAUUCGCGGGCCGCGCGCUCGGUCACGGCCGCCGCGGGGAAUCCACAGGAGGCGAGUGAGCGCGAUCAGCCCGUCUGCCCCGGGGAAGCCUCCCGCACGGCAUGCAAACAAGCCAUUAGGAGCUGGAGACGAGGGACAAAUGAUUUUUUUGCUCAACAAAGGCUGCGCUCGUUAAGGCUAACGAGAGGCUUCCUCGCCUGCCUGCCCCCUCCCCCAGUGCCCCGAGGAGCCGCCAAGUGCCUGCGCCAGGGACCGGGCCCCCGCGAGCAUCCCCCCGCGCAGGUGCCGGAGCGGCUCGAGCACACGCCGGAGAGCGGCUCCUUCCCUCUGCUGCAGCGCAGCCGCUUGCACUUCGUUUCCUGGCGUUGAGCCCCGGGGUCCUGCAGCCCUCGCGGCACACGGGGAGGUGAAGCCAUGAUGUGACAGGGGCCAAACAAGCUAGUCCCGUGUCCCCGCGUCCCCCCCGGGCGCAGAUCCGCUGCCGCAUUGCGCGAUCCGGAGGCUGACUCCUGCCUGUCCUCGGGGCCAGGCCGAGGCACCGCUGCAUGCCGCCGCGGCGGGCGAUCGGCGGGGACGCAGCGAGACGAACCACCCGGUGCGGGACAGGUCUCACGGAUGCGGGACGCCUUCAACUAACUCUUGGGUGGCGUCCGCGCAGCGAAGCGGGUCCCCCCUGGGUCCCAGCGAGCACGCGAGAGUGGGGGUGGGCGACACUGCUGAAAUGCUGCGCUACGGAGCGGCCUGGGGUAACGUGCCCGGCGAGCUCCGCGAGAGCUUUGCGAGCCCUUCUACCUCGGCACUGACCAGCCCUGCUGGGGACCCUCCCUAGCUCCAGCUGCAGGCAGGCAGUCUAAUUAGUAUAAUUAAUGAUCCCCCUUCCCAAUCCUCCCCCCCAGCAUAAAACAAUUAAUUCCCACAAAGUUACACUAGUGCCUGAAAGGGAUCCUUCCUUUUAAGGUCAGCAUUACGGUGAUUUUGUAUGCACUUUAACUACUCGAAUAAUGAUGUCAGUGUCUCUUCUGCCCGAUCCCUCUAGGAUAGAUACAGAGGCAGAAAAUUAAUGAAUUCCGGGAAAUCACACAGGAGCCGCAACACCACAGUAAAGAAAUAUAUAUUUUUCUCUUUAA